GAUGAAGAACGUAGCGAAAUGCGAUAAGUAAUGUGAAUUGCAGAAUUCAGUGAAUCAUCGAAUCUUUGAACGCAUCUUGCGCUCCUUGGUAUUCUGAGGAGCAUGCCUGUUUGAGUGUCAUUAAAUUCUCAACUACACUGACUUUGAAUUGGUGUGGCUUGGAUUUGGGGGGAAAAUUGUUGUGGGCUUUUUGUAUAGUCUGCUCCCCUGAAAUUGAUUAGCGGUACCUUUGUUGAACUGUCUACAGGUGUGAUAAUUAUCUACAUCUUAGACAUCUGCUGGAAUGCUGCUUUCUAAACCUUACUUGUAUUGACAAUCUUGACCUCAAAUCAGGUAGGACUACCCGCUGAACUUAAGCAUAUCAAUAAGCGGAGGA
rnacentral:misc_RNA from 1 species